GCUUAGGAAUUGCUUAAAGAAAGGUAUAAAAAAAGAAUUAUUAGGGUUUAAAUCAUGCUAUCUUGCUAACAGACCUUUAGUAAAUUAUUUAGCUACAAGAAUAAUGUCAUGAAAAGUAAAAAGACAGCUAAUUGCACGUCCAACAUUUCAUUUUCCAGGGAAAAAUCCAAGUUUAGCAAAUGCUCUCCACUAUGGAUUAGAGUGGGCAAUAAAGCCAAUAAGUUAUAACCAGGGGUGGUCGUGACUGACUCCAAUCUGAUUCACUUCAAUUAAUUUUAGUUUUGAUUCGUUUCGAUUUUAAUUUUGAUU
rnacentral:misc_RNA from 1 species